UACAGAGGGGGCAAGCGUUGUUCGGAAUUACUGGGCGUAAAGGGCGCGUAGGCGGCCUGCUAAGUCGAACGUGAAAUCCCCGGGCUCAACCCGGGAACUGCGUCCGAUACUGGCAGGCUUGAAUCCGGGAGAGGGAUGUGGAAUUCCAGGUGUAGCGGUGAAAUGCGUAGAUAUCUGGAGGAACACCGGUGGCGAAGGCGGCAUCCUGGACCGGCAUUGACGCUGAGGCGCGAAGGCCAGGGGAGCAAACGGG
rnacentral:rRNA from 1 species